GCACAGCGGUGGAGCAUGUGGUUUAAUCGAUGAUACGCGAGGAACCUUACCUGGGCUACAAAUGUAUGUUGACGUAUUCUGAAAGGGAUACUUCUUCGGACAAUAUACAAGGUGCUGCAUGGUUGUCGUCAGCUCGUGCCGUGAGGUGUCGGGUUAAGUCCCAUAACGAGCGCAACCCCUAUCAUUAGUUGCCAUCAGGUCAAGCUGGGGACUCUAAUGAAACUGCCUACGCAAGUAGUGAGGAAGGUGGGGAUGACGUCAAAUCAGCACGGCCCUUACGUCCAGGGCUACACACGUGCUACAAUAGCCGGUACAAAGGGCAGCUACCUGGUGACAGGAUGCUAAUCUCAAAAGCCGGUCUCAGUUCGGAUCGGAGUCUGCAACCCGACUCCGUGAAGCUGGAAUCGCUAGUAAUCGCGCAUCAGCCAUGGCGCGGUGAAUACGUUCCCGGGCCUU
rnacentral:rRNA from 1 species